rnacentral:rRNA from 1 species
AAUGGGCGAAAGCCUGACGGAGCAACGCCGCGUGAGGGAUGAAGGCCUCUAGGCUGUAAACCUCUUUUAUCAAGGAAGAAGAUCUGACGGUACUUGAUGAAUAAGCCACGGCUAAUUCCGUGCCAGCAGCCGCGGUAAUACGGGAGUGGCAAGCGUUAUCCGGAAUUAUUGGGCGUAAAGCGUCCGCAGGCGGCCCAACAAGUCUGCUGUUAAAAAGUGGAGCUUAACUCCAUCAUGGCAGUGGAAACUGUUGGGCUCGAGUGUGGUAGGGGCAGAGGGAAUUCCCGGUGUAGCGGUGAAAUGCGUAGAUAUCGGGAAGAACACCAGUGGCGAAGGCGCUCUGCUGGGCCAUCACUGACGCUCAUGGACGAAAGCCAGGGGAGCGAAAGGGAUU